rnacentral:rRNA from 1 species
UACGGGGGGGGCAAGCGUUGUUCGGAAUUACUGGGCGUAAAGGGCUCGUAGGCGGCCAACUAAGUCAGACGUGAAAUCCCUCGGCUUAACCGGGGAACUGCGUCUGAUACUGGAUGGCUUGAGGUUGGGAGAGGGAUGCGGAGUUCCAGGUGUAGCGGUGAAAUGCGUAGAUAUCUGGAGGAACACCGGUGGCGAAGGCGGCUCUCUGGGACGGUACUGACGCUGAGACGCGAAAGCGUGGGGAGCGAACAGG